rnacentral:rRNA from 1 species
UACGUAGGGCGCAAGCGUUAUCCGGAAUUAUUGGGCGUAAAGAGCUCGUAGGCGGUUUGUCGCGUCUGCUGUGAAAGACCGGGGCUCAACUCCGGUUCUGCAGUGGGUACGGGCAGACUAGAGUGCAGUAAGGGAGACUGGAAUUCCUGGUGUAGCGGUGAAAUGCGCAGAUAUCAGGAGGAACACCGAUGGCGAAGGCAGGUCUCUGGGCUGUAACUGACGCUGAGGAGCGAAAGCAUGGGGAGCGAACAGG